GGGUAUAGGGAGAUGAUGUCAUGGGGAAAUGACUGCUGGACCAGUACCUACUGACUGUGAUAUUGAUGUAGAUACACAACUGUAUAAACUAGCAAUAACACUAGUAACCUUUGUCAAAAUUAAACUUUAAAAUGUAUAAUGUAAUUUAGCAGUAAACUGUAAAGUGGUAUUAAACUGUCAAAUUUAUAGUGAUUUUACACUAUUUCUGGUAAUUUAGUUGGCAAUUUUAAAGAGCCAAAUUAAAACUGCCAAAAAUAGCUACCCUGAUAGAGAGACUGUGUAAGACUUGCAGUAAAAAUCUGUGUUGAUAUUGAAAACAUGAAAUCAACGUUAACACCACCUGAAAUUACUCUGUCUAUACGUUAUCACUAGUACCUCUUAAUUUACUUAUAGUUUGUGCUGAUGUUGGUAAGGUAUUGUACACCUAAUAUGUUAAUGAUUCAUAUGUUAACAUAUCAGGUGUUUAACAUUUCAUCUGUGUUGUUAUAUUGUAUAAAGAGUUAUUGAUUAUCAUUCCUUGUUAGUUUGAGUUUAAAAAAAAGGUUUGUUAGAAUUUCAUACUUGGUGCAGCUGGUCCCAGUUUCACAAACAUUUUUACAAUUUUAAUGACAUGCUUUGCACUUACAUUCCUGAAUUACUUCUCCUGAAUGUGCAAGAUUUCUUAUAGAAUAUAUUUCUUUAAAUAUAACAAGUUUUAUUUUUGAUUGGAUAUUUGAAUAAACGCAGCUGUCAUUGAAAAGAUAAACCACAUGUUAACGUUCUUCAUAAGGAAUGUUCAUGAUUCCAAGACCUACUCUAAAAUUCUUAAAUAGAUUCUGUAAAUGAUAUGAAAGCGAAUCAUAAUCAAUUAGGAUUCAAUAUAAUAGACUAGAAGAUAGUCCUUUUUCUGUUAUCAACAAUGUUAUAUAACUUUGUUACCAUUAUAUUUAAAGCGCCAUUAUUGAACUUCUACUCUUCCUCUCUUAGUCUAAGGGAAUAUAUUGAGUUGCCUCCCUUCAAAUAUCUUGUAAGAAAUUGUACAAGUUUGUAACAUUUCAAAAAAGCAUAUUAUUGAUAUAGUUGGAACUACAGACUUAGAUAUAGCUGGAACUACAGACUAUUGUAGCUGUUCAGUGGAGAGUUAAUAACAUGCUUGUGAGAUGAGUUAUCUGCACACCAUAUUGUAGAUAUUCUAUGGGAUUUAAAACCAUUGAAGACUAUAAACCCUUGUAGAUGUUAUUUGUGAAGAUUUAUUAACAUAUUUGCAUUGUGUAAAGACAUUAUAUGGAUAAUUAGAUAUAUAAAUGUAUGUAUAUAUGUAAAUGGCAUAGUAGUUAAAGUAUUCAAUACUCACAGCACCGAUGUUUCACUUAAUAUGAUUAAUCCCGAUGUGUAUGUUUACGGGGAAGCUUUGGUGCAGAUUUGUAUGUCACUUCUACCCUCUUGCCAUAGUGUUUUAGUACUUUGUUUUAUAAUCACAAUUUUUAGGAUAAUCAAUUGUUAAUUUAUAUUUUACCAUUAAAUCUUCUGCCACUUUCUUACAUAUUCACUAAAAUAUAUAAUUAAACUGGUCCAAUCAGGUCCAGUUUAGUGAAAUCUUAAUGUGUUUAGUUCAGAAGUGGCAGUUUGGAAAUAUUUGAAAUCCAUGUGAUUAGUAAAGUUGUAACAUCCUUUGUUUAUGUUUAUGAUUUGAUUAAUUCUGUCUCAUUUUAAUUGAUGAACGAUUUUCUAAUGAAAGUUCAGUAUUAGUUAUUUAAUUUGUGAUGUUAUUUCAUUAAUUGGUGGUUCCAAAUGAAUCGGGUAUAUUUUUAGCCCUUUGUUGUUAAUAGUUAAUGAUCUUCCUUAAUUAUGUGUACCUUUUAUAUUACACGUACAAUAUGGAUCACAUUCUUCAACAAGUUCUCACAACAUAUUUACAAUCUCUCAGAUAUUACUAGAAAUAUUUCAGAUUAUGUUUGCAUAAAUAUACACUAAUUAUUUUGAAAAUGACCAAAGGUGUUUUUAUAAAGGCCCAUACUUUUCUCCAACUUACAAAAUUGGCUGAAAUAUUUCUAAAUUUUAUUAUCAAGAGACAUUAUGGUAUUGGCUGAAUUAUAUGAUAAAAUUUUAUUAAAUCUCACGAUUGCUUUUUAAUGAAAAACGAAAUAUUUUAAGACUUUUUCUGAAAAGAAAUCAUUAUUUAAAUAAAUGAGGUAGUAGACUUUCUACAAACAAAAAUUGUACAUACUUUAUUUUAUGGAAGUUUUAAUUAAAGCACAAAACAAUUUUACAGUAGAAGCUGGGGAAAGUGGAAUCAGAUAUUUAUAUUAAAAAUUAAAUUACGCAUUUAACUUUUGUAAAUGUUUUGAUUUAGAUUGAGUUGUGUAAAACGGACGAUGACUGUGAUCCAUGUAGUACAUAUGUUAUAACCUACAGCAAUAAUGGUGGUACGGGACGCUUUGUUAGAUGUGUGGAGGGAAACAGGACGUAAUAUAUUAUAUAUACUGAUACAACGACUAAUAUAUGGAGGUUAUAAUGACAACUUGUUUAAACAAUUAUCUCAUCUCAGAAUAGCAGGUAGAGGUGUAAAAAUAGACCAGGUUUCAGGCACCAAAUUGAUUUAUUUUUUUUUAUCCUUUUUAAUAGAGAGAUAUUUCAUAUAAAUCUUAUAAGACAAAUGUGAUACACUUGUUUCCAUGGCAAUGUAUGACCUGCCAUACUAUUAGCUCAUUACCAGUCACUAGACAUCAUGAAAUGUUACUUUCUCAAUUUACUGUAGCUGUUAUGAACAAAUUAGAUUAUACAAAUACGAGUAGAAAUCUCGGAUCAAAGGGACGAAAGACAAGUCAGCAAGUGUAUCAGAUUUAGAGAUUGACAUUUAUCAGCAUCCUCAUGUUGGGUCCUUUUUCAUGCAGUGCUUUGUGAACGUAGUAAAAAAAAGGGUGAACACAUUAAGAUUUUAGAUUUUUUUUCCAGUAUUGAUAGUUUAAUGAAAAAAAUAAUCAAACAUAUGGUUUGAAAUACCACUGGAAUCUAGGUAUUUGUUUAAGUACAUGAGUGGUUUUUUAUUGACUAAGCAGGAAAUCUGAACUGCCAAAAGAUGUUAUCACGAGCUAUAAAGUUAGUACUGACACACUGCUCACUUGUGUGAUUACUUUCUGUGCCCAAUCUCUGUUCACUCUCAAAGGGUAACAGUUAUUAAGAUAUUUGAACUUGAUUCCCUUCAUUUUCUAAAAGCUAUUAUUGAAACAUAAAAAUCAUUCCUUAACUGCAGUGUGAUAAUUUAAUAUUUGAUAUCUUACAAUUAAUUGUCAUCGCAUUGGGCAUGUCUUUAUGCUACAAGCAAGUUUGCAAAUGAUACAUACUCUUCAAACAGUCUAUUUCUUUUAUUUUUUGAAAAAUCGUGAUAUAUUAUUAUCAGUUAUAUGUAUAAAAUCUUCUCAUCAUACAAAUCCAUUGAAAGGUAGAAAUGUGAAAGUUGCAUUAUUUCGUUUGCACUAUACCUUUGGCUAUAUUACCAAUAUUGAUAUAUAAUGCAAUUAAUUUCACUGCUGUCCAGAUUUUAAUGACUUGACCCUUUACAGAGUACUCACAGUAUAAGGCAUUUACUCACCGGUUUACUGAUUUUGUUUCAGCACCAAACAUGCCUUCUGCCUUCAGUUGGUAAUAUUUUGUUACAUUUCAAUAAAUGCCUUCAACGUUUGGCUGGUAGUGCCUAAACUGUACUGCAUUGUUAAAAGCUUUUUGAAGUUUUAUGUCACAGAAAACUCCAUAUUUUGUGUAAAACAUAACCAAGUAUUCCAAUAAAUUUGGUGUACCAGUUUAA
rnacentral:lncRNA from 1 species